AUGGGGAAGUAAGCGGUCUCUCCUCUACUCUGCCCUUGAGCAAGCACAAGAGGCCCUCAGCCCCAGACCAGCAGCCAGCGGGUGAGGAAGUGUGAUAGGUGUCACGGGAACAUCUCCCCGUGUACCUUGUCCCCCUCUUCAGCUCUCCAGCCUCUCCAUCUGCUUUUGGGUGACCUCUAAGUCCCAGGGGAGCUGCUGACAUUGCACACCCCCAGGGGGCAUCAUUCCGGCUGUGCAGAAGGUAGACUGUAUGAUGUAGUUCAGGGAAGGCGGGGGAGUGAUAGGUAAUACAUCACCGGGAUGAGGAAGCUGACUCUCCCGGGAAUUUCUCACCCUGGGUCUCUGGGCCCCACUUCAGAGGCAGAAGGGCUGUUCCUCUUGAAAAGAAAGCCAGGCACUCCAUGAGGAAUUCAGAGGAAAGGGCUUGGCAGUCAUCUUGGGAGGAGGCGUGGGUGGCCCCUAAAGGUGAAGGCUGGAUGAACUGAGCCACUUGAGCCCAGCUGUGACGCAAGAGGAAUGCCAUGGCUCAUAAAGGAAAGAAGAGGAGGAGAAGAAGUCCGGUCCCUACUGUCCCCCACCCCAGGAAGACGUCUCUGGGGUCUGGGUGGCCUCUGCCCUCCCCUCCAGGGCAGAGUGGCUCCUUACAACCAGAGCCGAGUGACCUGGGCCGGCAUCUGGGAGCCCCUGCAGCGCCUUCUCAGCUUGCUUGGCCCCAAAUCCUUUUAAAAGCUGCCCAAGCCCACAUACCUUGGUCUAUUUUAAUCAAGGGAGGAACUGGGGCCUGCCGCCAGCCCCGCCUCCACACGUUUAAGGGCCCAGGCUAAUUGUUUCCUCUCUUUCUUGUUAGGAAUUGUCUUUGGAGCUCUAUCUUCUUUCCAGCCGCCCUGGGGGGUUGGGGUGGGGGAGUGGUCAGAAAGAGGAAGAAUUUGGCUGACCAUUGGCCUCGCCUCCAUUCCUCCCUGGGGACUCCGACCACAUCCUGGCUCAGCUGGGAGCGCGCUGAGACACGAUACGGUCCCGAUCACCCUUGGGGGUCCUUGCUGUAGCGCCCGAUCCACGCCAUCCUGAUUCUGCGCUGCCCAGGCCCUCAUCCUGCCUUUGGCCCUGUUAGCAAUCACCGCCACCCCCAUGCCACCAAAAUCGCCACAAUGCAGCAUGUUUUACACAUAGUAGC
ensembl:lncRNA